GAAAGCCAUGUGCAAUGAAAAAUGCAAGCACGGUUUAGGGAGAGAUCCUUUUCUCUUAUUCAAAGAGUGAGAUUAUCUACUCCAU
rfam:Amborella trichopoda AMTR_V1.0_contig_11336, whole genome shotgun sequence.